CACCCCACCCCCAGAAAGGUCUAGAAUCUUGCCAGGAACCAAAGAUUAUAACACAGCAUUGGAGCCAAAAAUUGCUUAUGCGAGAACUUGAUGCGAAUCAGAUGACCGCUUCUCUUUUGGUGGAACUUGGGAUGUCUUCGAGAUCCUGCCUAUGAGCCGAACAAGGGCAACAGCAACAGACACCCCAACGGGCCCAUGAAACUAAGCUCACUUCCGUUUUACGACAUUUCCGGACAGAGACUCAAGCCUUUCACUCCACCAUGGGUCCUAGAUCAGGACCUGUCUAUGCCAGGAAAGAGGAAAAUACCAUUGUGGCCCAGUCGGCCUGCAGGUCACGAGACAAAACAGACAACCAGCUGUGCCCCGGGUUCCAGGAACUACAGAAAAUCACAGACCUUGGAAUACGAAGACCACCAGCAACAGGACUGGCAAAGGACUAGGCUUCGGGUUGUGUUUUACCCCGGCCUCUGGUUAUGUGACUAGCUAAGAGGGAAACUAGGCACCAAGGCAAAGGUGAGGUGACCGGGCAAGUCUAAAGUUGUACUGAGUAGAGGCAAAGACUGCACAAGAAUGAAAGAAAAAGACCAAGUAAUGAGGGGCAUGAGCUAAUGUCCAACCCUGACUGAACAAAUUAUUUUCCCACACAUGUAUUCCGAAGACUGAAGAAACAGUAUUACAUACACUCUUUUGAGCGCUUUCUGACCAACAUUUUUCUAUUAAAGGUUAUGCUUCUCGGGAGCCAGUAUCAAAGCUUCUUGUGGCUUGUCAGUAAAUUUAAGAGGCCAAAUCUGUGUAAAUUUAAAUUACAUAAAACCUCUCCCUCAAUUGCCUGGUCUCAGAAUAGCCCCUUUCACUGGGCAUUAUCAUCAGGGAAUAUAAACGCCUUUAUCAUAGGAGCCCAGGCUUUUGAAAUCUUGGCAUAAUCGAAUUUCCUCCUCCCAAGGCAUAUCAAACAACAUUGCAGAAUGGAGUCUAAUUUGCUUUUUAACCAAAAGGUUCUUUCCUCUGCUUAUUUGAAGACUAUUUCUAUAUAACAAAUGCAGUGUUCUCUAUGACCACCCCCCUGCCAGAUGGCAGUGCCUGGAAGCCUACACGGUCACCCUAAGGGCAAAGAUUGACGGAAUUGUGAGGGAAAAAAACAGCAGGACACUCUGUGCAUCGGGGAGACAGUGGGGACCGCAUGAGCAGACACCUGAAAGCAUCAAAAGGUGGGCAUAUACUUAACUAACGAAGUCCUGAACAUGGGGGCAAGCGUCGCCCGCCCGUGAAUUGGCCUUCUCUGUCUGUCAGCUGGUGUGAAAACCUGGGAAUCUUUUGUUGACAGUGUCUGUAAGCUACCCUGAACCCCAAGCAGAUGAUUCAAGGCUGAGAAUACAUUCUGAUGCCGACACAGACAAUGGAACAGACAGACAAGGUCAGACGCAGGAAAUGUGGUACUUGGAGCACCGUUAGCCCGGACUAGCAUGAGCCUCUGGGGAUUCUCUAUGGAAGUAAGUGGAUGGACUGCAGAAAAGACACAUGGGUUCCCUUUCUGUUCUAAGCCUUUUUCUUCCCAACCUUUGAGGGGUUUUGAAUAUAUAAGGAAUUUAGCACGGGGUGUAGGGGAUUCAGUGUCUUGGCCAAAGAAUUUGCCUUGAGGCUCACAAGAUCUUCCUAGUAUAUAUGCUAAAUUUUUAUGAUUUACAUUUAGAAGCAGCUCGGUGAGGGGGCUCUUGGGCUCUGGUCUCCGGGCUCCAGGCUCCAGGCUCAGGUGGGCAUCAGUUGAUAACAAGAGAUCUGAGGAGAUCAUGAUAAUCAUUUUGUUCUACUUCAUUGUUCUUAAUGGGACUGUCUUAGAGCUAAGGCUGCAUCUGAUUCCGAUCAUGCACUGAAGAAGAGUCAGGGGCCCACUAGAUGGCAGCAGAUGGUAAGAAAUGUGAACUGAGGCCGCCUCCUGGAGAGCUAGGCUUGCAGCCCUCCAUUUUGCUUUGCAUCUUUAAUGAGAUAUGUGAGGAAAAUGAGUCCCUUACAUGCCAGUUACAGAUGCCACAGCAUAUGGAGAGAUACCGCAUAGCAAUCUUUCUCUGUUUAUUAAACAGGAGGCAGCUAACGAGUCACUCGCUGCACCCUGCUGCCAUUGUCCUUUAAGUUGCUGGAUACUGUUGUUGACAAGGUAAUAACAAGAGAAAGAGGGUUAAGCAGAAUGACAGAGAGGUGUGGACUUCGAGAUUACAAGGCGUCGUCAAGUUGAGGUACAGAGCAAAUCACUAGCGAAGGGCGAGAGACCCUGGGUAGCUUUCUGCUACCACAUGCCUCCCCUGGGGCGUCCGCUGCUCUCUCCUCUCCUUGGCAGACCUUGGGGGUUCAUUUAUCUAGAGCCUCUAUUACCACUAGACAAGCUUGGUGGUCUGACCUUUCACCACAAACCCCAAAUGGGAAAGGGAGCUCUGGGCAUUUUAAAGAGCAAACUGCACUUGCUGUUGUAGCAGACUGAAAAGACAUCGCAUGACCGGAAUGCGUUAGGAUGCAUCCACCUAUGGGGGCCUGCUUUCUAAGCUGCCCAAAACAAAAGUAGGGGUCCACUCUUGCUGGCUGCAGACAUAACACACCACGGUGUGUGGUGUGUCCCAGGUCUGAAGCUAAUUUUGCUGUUUCAUUUCUGUAUUUCUGUAAUUCUUUUUUCUUUCUUUCUUUUUUCCCCAUUUACCGAGUACAACAAUUUGCUAUUGAUUUCUUCUAACCCAGGUCUUCGGACGCCCUGGGUGGUUUCUGAGAACAGGUUACAAAUCCAGACACCCCUCUUCUGCCUGUUAAGAAACUGGACUGUCCUCCAUUAACCACAAGGCCCGCGGUUACCAGGACUUCUCAGAGUCAUUCAUUAAAAUCUUCAUAUUGAGACGUCUCCUGCAGGACCAAACUCACAGAAGCAUCCAACAUGGCUGCCGUGACUAGGAUGGAGGCCUCUCCGGAGACAGAAUAAACACAUUGAUGGGAGUCACAGCUCCGUGUUCUUGUGUCUGCAAAGAGCUAAUCAAAGGCCCGCCCCUUUCUACGAUACCUCCUCGGCACAGAGCAUGGCCAUUUGUUUGUGGACAGAACGUUGUUCUCCAAUGCCCUACCUAUAAAUAUGUAAAGGCAAGAGACAAGACCAUUACUUUAGGGCACUGCUGUGCACUGCUGUUGGACAUCAUUAUGAAGGAAAGACUAUAAGCCCCAAGCAGAUAAAAUGCACAAAAGCCAGAGAGUCUACCAACAAGACACAAGCAUUUAGUGUUAUCCUGAAUUAGCCUCGUUUAUUUAUCGUCGUUCAUUUGAAACCAUGAAGCCCUUAUGCCUUGUAAAUCAAUACGCUAAAUGCUGUGGAAAUACAAAUUAAAAAUGAGUACUUGUCAAAUACGGACUACACUCAGCAGGUACCAGCGCCUCACUUUUAUCCUUUUAAACCAUGAGAGGUGAAAAUUAAAUCCUACUGAAUUACAUCAAUUUUCCACCUGAAAAUAAAAGCACGGUCCCCGAUUCCCUGAAGGACAAAUGAAUUACACACAUUCGAAAUCAAGGCCAGCAAUUAACAUCUUAAUCAUGGGUCCUUGAUAGCCUACCCACGAUUCUAAAAGUCUGGAAAACUGUAAAUAUUUAUAUACAUAGAUGCAGUAGUUAGAUUAAAGAUGUAUGAUAAACGGAUGAGUGUGUCACUGGAUGGAUGCAUGGAUGCAUGGAUGGUAGCACAGUAAAGUGGCUGAGUUCAAGUUCAGAUUGAAAGCUAGAUUUCUAGGUCUCCUCUUAUUACCUCACUAGCCACAUGACCUUGGGCACGUUACUUUGUGCUUUCCUUUUCUCAGCAAAGCUUUCAUGGGAGAAUUAUUCCUAAAAUUAAGUGAACUGUCCAGUGCCAACAUAUUUAGCAUAAGGUUUGGUACACAGGAAACACAUUAUCAAGUACCUAUGGUUGUGACGAGUGGGGAUAAUUACUACAUUUUCCUGUAGUUGAUUGGAUUGAGCUUUUAGCAAGUCGUUUACAAAAAUUAAGCCAUUAAGCCUCUCUCUGGCCCUGGGAAUAUGGAUCAGUCAAUAAUUUACUUUUCCGGCACAUGUAAGGACCUGAGUUCAUAUCUCCCAAAAACAUAUAAGAAAGUAGAACACAGUAGUACACAGUUGUAGUCCUAGCACCAGAAGGUCAAGAGCAGGAGGAUCACUCUGAACCUUCCUGGCCAGCUGAAUUGCUGUUCCAAGUUCAGCCAAAGAUUCUGUUUCAAUAAAAUAAGGUAGAAAGCAAGAGAGGAAGACAUCCAACAUCAACCUCUGCUCUCCAUGGGUACCCACAUGCACACAUACACUUGCAUACACACACAUGCAUGUACUACAAACACAUACAAACAGAGAGAAUCAAGUCGGUCUCUUGGAAACUUAAGCAUUCUUCUGUAUUGGCAUCCCAACUAGUAAGAACUAAAGAUCAAUGGGAGUUUAGAGAAACACAAUUGAAAAGACCUUCAAAUUCCUUUUCAGAGGAUGUUGCAAAGGAUGCUGAUAAAUUAUUAAUAAGGACCUACUACAUAGGAAAAAGCAAAUAGGAAGGUAAUUUUUGUUUGACCCUCAUAAAACGAGCAAGCAUGGACUUUGUGAGAUAUUAAAAUACAAUGCCUCCACUCAUUAAGUGGGUAGGAUAAUGGAAUAACU
rnacentral:sRNA from 1 species